GACGAACGCUGGCGGCGUGCUUAACACAUGCAAGUCGAACGGAAAGGCCCUGCUUUUGUGGGGUGCUCGAGUGGCGAACGGGUGAGUAACACUUGAGUAACCUGCCCUUGACUUUGGGAUAACUUCAGGAAACUGGGGCUAAUACCGGAUAGGAGCUCCUGCUGCAUGGUGGGGGUUGGAUAGUUUCGGCGGUUGGGGAUGGACUCGCGGCUUAUCAGCUUGUUGGUGGGGUAGUGGCUUACCAAGGCUUUGACGGGUAGCCGGCCUGGGAGGGUGACCGGCCACAUUGGGACUGAGAUACGGCCCAGACUACUACGGGAGGCAGCAGUGGGGAAUAGUGCACAAUGGGCGGAAGGCUGAUGCAGCAACGCAGCGUGCGGGAUGACGGCCUUCGGGUUGUAAACCGCUUUCGCCUGUGACGAAGCGUGAGUGACGGUAAUGGGUAAAGAAGCACCGGCUAACUACGUG
rnacentral:rRNA from 1 species